ACAAAGGACCUACGGACAGGCCCUUUUGGGUGGGAGAAGAUUGGUCUCGGUCCGAGUGAUGAUUGGCCGAGGAUUCCCUGCACAACAAACACACGUAAACUGGCUUCGGGGGGUUGUGUCGAGGAAGGUCCCUCCGAUGCUGAAGUCAGUUAUGUAUUUAGAGAGAAAGCUGUGUAAGAGAGUUUAGUGCUUAGGGCUUUGUGUGAGUAAAAGCGUAUGAAUGAACUUACUUUUUUUUUUUUUUAUUGAACCUCUUUAAGGCUUUUAUACCUAAGCUUGAUGUAAUUAGUAUACACUACACCCUAGUGUAGGUACCAUAACCUACACCCCCUACAAAACGCAGCGUUUGCGUUUUUCCCCUACCCCCACAAACUACAGUAACUACCCCCACUCACUCCCACUAACCACAGUAAAUUAGAAAUAACUUCCCCUACCCCACAUAUAUAUUAUUAAAAAAAAAAAAAAACUAUCCAUUUCAAAUUAUUCUCUCUCUAAAAACCAUCUUCUUCAUUUCUCUAGAAUUUCUCUCUCAUCAACACCGUCGAAUCGGAACGAAAUUCUCUUCAAAUUAUUGCAAAAUUGCUUCAAAACACUUCAUAAUUGCUUCAAAUGUCUGAUAUUCGAGAUGAAAUUAAACAAUCACAAAAAAAAGAUGCGAUUUUGCAAAAAACCACUACAGAGAAGAACAUGAAAGAAGAAACUGCAAAAUCGGAGCAAAAUGUAUCUAAAGAUAUGAUUUUGGAGAAGAAUACUUCAGAGACGAGUAAUUUGUUGAAAAUUUCUGAAGAAAUAGACGAUGAUGAUGAUGUACCUCUUCAGUCAAGAGUAGACAAAUUGAAAAAAAACCGCCAAAAUGAUCCAAUUGUAGAUCCGGAACUUUUAAAAGAUAUUGACAAGUCAAUUGGUACGGAUUUAACAAUGUCUCCACUACCAAGUGAACAAAGUGAGAACAUUCCUGCUACUAAUGCAACAACUAAGAGUGUGUCUGCUACACAUAACACAACUGACAAAGAGAGUAGGGAUGAAAGCAAGCAAGAAGAAGUUCAACCAAAAGUGCAAAGCAAUCCAGUAAAGAAUAGUCUUGGCCAAAAAAAGUACAAAGAAUCGACAAUCAGAAUUAUGAGAAAUCUCAAAAGAAUGGAAAAGGCAAGCAAGGAAAUCAGGAAAGGUGAAGCAAAAAAGAAAGAAAAAGGGCCAAUAGAAGAGAAAACUGUGGAAAAAGAAGGACAAGAAGGAAAAAAAGGGACUGAAAAAGAGAAAAGCCCUAAAGACAAAACUGUGGAAGAUGUCUUUCCAAAGACAACAAAUGUAGAAGAAGGACAAGAGGGAAAAAAAAGAGCCUGAAAAGGAGAAAAUCCCUAAAGAGAAAACAGUGGAAGAUGAGUCUACAAAGACAACAGAUCCGAAAGCACAAAUUGCACCUGAUUUUGUUCAAAUUGAGGAUGAAACUUAUCUUCUAGAUCAAGAUGAUGAUAAAGUUUCCACAAAACUUAGUGAGGAGACAGCUCCAUCAUCACAAAAAAGUGAUCAGUCAACCAAAAUGAAAACAAG